GCUGCCCCUAGUAACGUUGCAGGUGUGGCUGCUGUGUCACAUUCACGUUGUCAGUAGGUGGCAGAAAGGAGAGAGGCAGUCUAUACUCAGUGUUCUGACCUGUGAAUAUCUGAAUGAUUAGUAGCCUGAUACU